AGCAGCCGCGGUAAUUCCAGCUCCAAUAGCGUAUAUUAAAGUUGUUGCAGUUAAAAAGCUCGUAGUUGAAUUUCGGGAUCAUCAUGUCGGUCGUGCCUCGGUACGUACUGGCAUUGUUGGUUUCUCCCUUCUGACGAACCAUGAUGUCAUUUAUUUGGUGUUGUGGGAAAUCAGGACUGUUACUUUGAAAAAUUAGAGUGUUUAAAGCAGGCUCACGCUUGAAUACAUUAGCAUGGAAUAAUGAAAUAGGACGUUUGAUUCUAUUUUGUUGGUUUCUAGGAUCGACGUAAUGAUUAAUAGGGAUAGUUGGGGGCAUUAGUAUUCAAUUGUCAGAGGCGAAAUUCUUGGAUUUAUUGAAGACUAACUACUGCGAAAGCAUUUGCCAAGGAUGUUUUCAUUAAUCAAGAACGAAAGUUAGGGGAUCGAAGACGAUCAGAUACCGUCGUAGUC
rnacentral:rRNA from 1 species